rnacentral:lncRNA from 1 species
AUGUCAUAUGGAAUAGCCUCAUUUAUUUUGACAAAAACCAGUCUUCAUGCUGUGAUGGUAAUGGAAUCUUUCAGGCAUGCUAUGCUGGUUUGGAAACCUUUACACCCUGGCAGAACCAGACAACUGAUGCUGGCAGCUUUAUCAUUUUGGAGAACAGUGACAUUUAAUUUUCUAGACACAAAACCAAUUGUGAUAAAGUCACAAUGCAAAAUCUUUUGUCUUGGGAAAGAAGCAAAGAUAAAAUGGCAAAGUAUACUGGUUUUAAAAAGCUUUCCUUCAUAUUCUUGGAAAGCAAUUUGACUUCUUUCCUUCUCCCCUGAACUUCCUGUUCUUCAUGAAUAACCUCCUAACAGAUCAGAAAGUGAAAAUUGUCCUGUAUGAAGAGCAAAGGUGCCAGCCUUGGCCUCUUAGAAGAUAAUGUCAAUUGUGUAAUUUUGUUCCUUUAUCACAAGUACUGUAACUAUUUCACACUGGGCCUCCCCCAUCUAAGUUUUGGUAAGCUUAUUUUAUAAACAGGACCCGGAGUCAGUUUUUUUUGUCCUGCCAUCCAAACCCGGGUGACAAGACACAAAUAACAACCCCAGUGUCUGCCUCAAAAAUGUGCAAAUACUGAAAAUGGGCAGAUCUUUUGUAUGAGCAGGUUGCCAGCCUUCUUUUUGGAUAAGUAAUCAGAAUCAAAGAGGGUUAUUCCAGCUGCUUAUUUCACAAAUAAAUGGACUAGAUGUUGAUCCA